rnacentral:rRNA from 1 species
UACGUAGGUGGCGAGCGUUGUCCGGAUUUACUGGGCGUAAAGGGCGUGCAGGCGGUUUGUUAAGUGCAGGGUGAAAGCUCCCGGCUCAACUGGGAGAGGUCCUUGCAUACUGGCGAACUCGAGGGAGGCAGAGGAAAGUGGAAUUCCCGGUGUAGUGGUGAUAUGCGUAGAUAUCGGGAGGAACACCUGUGGCGAAGGCGGUUUCCUGGACAGUUACUGACGCUCAGGCACGAAAGCAUGGGGAGCAAAAGGG